rnacentral:rRNA from 1 species
CCAAAAAGGAAUGGAGGCUUGGGGUUUAGAGACCUACACAGUUUUAACCUUGCUUUACUAGCAAAACAAUGUUGGCGACUACUCCAGAAUCUAGACUCUUUGUGUGCAAAAGUUCUUAGUGCAAAAUGCUACCCAGAUGGAGAUAUACUCAAUGCAGUCCCUAAGAAGGGUUCUUUUUUUACAUGGCAAAGUAUUAGCGCAGGCAUACAGACAUUCAAAAGGGGAUGCAUUUGGGGGGUGGGCAUUGAAUCACAGAUUAAUAUCUGGGACGAUCAUUGGAUUCCAACCUAG